rnacentral:rRNA from 1 species
GAUGAACGCUGGCGGCGUGCCUAAUACAUGCAAGUCGAGCGAACAGAUGAGGAGCUUGCUCCUCUGACGUUAGCGGCGGACGGGUGAGUAACACGUGGAUAACCUACCUAUAAGACUGGGAUAACUUCGGGAAACCGGAGCUAAUACCGGAUAAUAUAUUGAACCGCAUGGUUCAAUAGUGAAAGACGGUUUUGCUGUCACUUAUAGAUGGAUCCGCGCCGCAUUAGCUAGUUGGUAAGGUAACGGCUUACCAAGGCGACGAUGCGUAGCCGACCUGAGAGGGUGAUCGGCCACACUGGAACUGAGACACGGUCCAGACUCCUACCGGAGGCAGCAGUAGGGAAUCUUCCGCAAUGGGCGAAAGCCUGACGGAGCAACGCCGCGUGAGUGAUGAAGGUCUUCGGAUCGUAAAACUCUGUUAUUAGGGAAGAACAAAUGUGUAAGUAACUAUGCACGUCUUGACGGUACCUAAUCAGAAAGCCACGGCUAACUACGUG